GGAGAGGAAUUGCGAAAAGAUUGCAGAGAGGAGAUGGGCGGAUGAGUGGGCGGCGCGGAGGGAGGAGAUGGGAAAAAGAUAAGGAAGAAAGCGAUGAGGGAGGGCUUAGAGAGGAGGUCGGGACGGGAAGGGGAGGAGGGAGAGAGGUGGGGGAGGGGUUUGAGAGGGUCGAGGGGAUGGUGGGAGAGGGUUUGGGAUUUGGGAAAGAUUGGGCAAGAUGCGAGGAGUGGUGGGGUGGAGGGAGGAGAUGGAAA
rnacentral:lncRNA from 1 species